ensembl:lncRNA
CUCUCUCUCUUCCUGCUCUCUCUCUUCCUGCUCUUUCUUCCUGCUCUCUCUCUCUCUUCCUGCUCUCUCUCUUCCUGCUCUCUCUUCCUGCUCUCUCUCUCUUCCUGCUCUCUCUCUCUUUCUUCCUGCUCUCUCUCUUCCUGCUCUCUCUCUCUCUUCCUGCUCUCUCUUUCUGCUCUCUCUCCCUGCUCUCUCUUCUGCUCUUUCUUCCUGCUCUCUCUCUUCCUGCUCUCUCUUCCUGCUCUCUCUCUCUCUUUCUCUCUCCUCUCUCUUUCUGCUCUCUCUUUCUGCUCUCUCCCUGCUCUCUCUUUCUGCUCUCUCUUUCUGCUCUCUCUUUCUGCUCUCUCUUUCUCUUUCUGCUCUCUCUUUCUGCUCUCUCUUUCUGCUCUCUCUUUCUGCUCUCUCUUUCUGCUCUCUCUUUCUGUUUCUGCUCUCUCUUUCUGCUCUCUCUUUCUGCUCUCUCUUUCUGCUCUCUCUCUCUCACUCCCUUUUAUGCAUCUCUCUCUCUAUAUAAUUGGGUCUAUUAGCUCCUACAGGAGGUCAUGAGCAAUACCUCUAUAGAUGGGUGGGCACAGACUCUAACUGAACUGGCCGUGUGUGUAGACUAAAGUGCAGGGGGGGAAGAGCCACAGGGAAUAGAGUGUUGGGGAGAAACAAGCAUUAAUGCACUAAGAUGGACCUCAGCUCAUGUCUGCAUGCAGCAGGGGCAGGUAGCCUAGUGGUUAGAGGGGGCAGGUAGCCUAGUGGUUAGAGGAGGCAGGUAGCCUAGUGGUUAGAGGAGGCAGGCAGUCUAGUGGUUAGAGGAGGCAGGCAGUCUAGUGGUUAGAGGAGGCAGGUAGCCUAGUGGUUAGAGGAGGCAGGUAGC